rnacentral:rRNA from 1 species
AAGUAUUAAAGGUCCCGCCUGCCCAGUGAAACUUAUUUUAACGGCCGCGGUAUUCUAACCGUGCAAAGGUAGCGUAAUCACUUGUCUUCUAAAUAAAGACCAGUAUGAACGGCUAAAUGAGGACAAGCCUGUCUCUUAUAAUUAAUCAGUGAAACUGAUCUCCCAGUACAAACGCUGGGAUAAAUACAUAAGACGAGAAGACCCCGUGGAGCUUAAAACAAACCACUAACAUACCUUACACCCUAGUGCACUGUUUUGAGUUGGGGCGACUUCGGAACAAAACAAAGCUUCCGAGCACAGAACCACCACUUCCAACUAAGGCCAACAAGCCUAAGUACAACCCGACCCGGCUCCACUGCCGAUCAACGAACCAAGUUACCCCGGGGAUAACAGCGCUAUCUUCUUCAAGAGUCCCUAUCAACAAGAAGGUUUACGACCUCGAUGUUGGAUCAGGACACCCAAAUGGUGCAGCCGCUAUUAAAGGUUCGUUUGUUCAACGAUUAACAGUCCUACGUGAUCUGAGUUCAGACCGGAG